rnacentral:misc_RNA from 1 species
GAAGUGCGAUAAGCAAUGCGAAUUGCAGAACCGUGAGUCAUCAGAUUUUUGAACGCAACUGGCGCCGGCUGGCUCUCCAGUCGGCAUGCUUGUUUCAGUGUCUUUUUAUCUCAUCACCCAAAUCUUAAUGCGAGAGAUACCCUUCUCUCGUUAAGCAUGAAAGCACUCUGCGCUCUGCGAGCGAUUUCGACUUGUUCGAGGUCGCACUCAAUGCAGCGGUCACAUUCUAGCAAUGUGAACUCAUUGAGAGUAGAGGCAGUGCAGCCUAACAGCUGCCAGUGCUUAGACACACAAACUUUCUUUGUAUCUGAAAUCAAGCAGGAUCACCCGCUGAGUUUAA